GUAAUUGAACAUUAUAGUCAAUAAAUACUACUACAAAUCACAAGUCUUAAAUAUAAAAUUACAAUAUCCCGAACUUCGUUAGUUUCUAACCGAAAAACUGAAAGUGUAUCUUGAACAAAAAAAAGGGCCGAACUUCAGCUCACACCGAAUUCUACAUGAUAAACCAGUAAUCAAGCUCGUCAUCCAAAAUAACCUGCAUGUACAAAGUAUGUACAUAAGUUAGUAACAUGAUUAAUCAACAAAUAUGAAAGUCAGUUUUACCUCAAAAAAAUCAGUUUUUCUUCAUGUAUUACCAAGUUGAUAACCAAACAUGAAAGUCAACGAAUAGAAAUGGUAAUCUAUAAAGAAAACCAAGUUAAAGAAGACUAGAGGUAAAUAGAACAUACCGAUAACAAGAUAUUUGAGUUUAUCUUCCA
rnacentral:lncRNA from 1 species